CUCCCAGCCCUGCAGCCCGGGCUUGCUAGGCGGGCGGAAGAGAGGAGGGUGAGCCCUUCAGUGCUUCGGCCCGCGCUCGCGGGGCUCUGCCCGCGAGGCUCGCGCUCCCCGGCGCCGCCUCGCCCGCGACUCAGCGUGAAAGGUAGCCUGUGCCCGAGACAGGAAAUCAAAGCCGCGGGUCUGCUGCCUUCCCUGCCAGCCAGUUAACCUCCUCAGCACCGAGACGCGGCGAAGGCCUCCUUUUUGGAGUCCAGAGUAUUGCUGUUGGACACAAAUGAGACCCAAGCCGCCGUCAGGGACUUCUGUCCUGGAUCAGCGCGGUCUGUCGUGUGGCCGCUGUCCUCACCCGGAUUCACCAGCAGUCACCACACCAAGACCAGCCUCUCAAGCAUGGAAAUGUGUGUGGAUGCGCACAGGAGAACCGUAUUCAUCCAAAUUUUCCUGUUUCAGAUUUCCUUGCCAGUUCUUUUUUAAGGUUUGUUUUUUGUUUGGUGGUUUCCGUUUUGCUUUUUUUGCUCCGUUAAGAAUGCCUCGUCCCUUGCACCUGUUCCUUGCUCUGAAAAUAGCAGUAUUCACGGGAUUCUGUCCUCAGCACUCUUCUUCCUUCUCAGCCCCAUGAUCAGGAUUUUUGGGCUUACUUUAAACUGCUAGUGACUUACAACUAUCUAUCAGCUGAUCAGACCAUCUGGAAACCUGUUGGUAUUUUCAGGUGCCUGGUGAGCGCUUUCACCUGUACAUCCUGCAGACACUACAAAUCCUACAGAUCAAAAUCCUGCUGUGUUCUCUAGAAAGUACCCAGUUCACAGGGCAACACCCAGGGUUUACUCCCUGCAUCCAGCGUGUUCUCUCUGAAGUGCCCAUCUCUGCCUAUGCCAUUCCCCCCAGCGAUUACACUUCAUGUUGUCCUAACCUCCAUGCUUGCUUUUACCUAUCAGAUCCUUCCAGUUACUAAGGUGAUCUUCUCCCCCCCAAAAAAACAACAGGAAAUGCAAUGUGUUCCUCGUUCAUAUGUAUAUGCAUAUAAAGUAUUUCUAAGUAAAAAGAUGACCUUUCUUAUUUUCAGUUUUUAUUUUUAUUGGCACGUUUGUAUGAUGUAAUAUUACAUUCCUUCUGGGGAAUUGGUGCAUACACAGUAUAUAUCUUCGUGUUUUUUCACCCCUUCCCUUUCUCCUCCUUCAUCUCUUGAUGCCCUUCUCAUUUGAACAAAAUCUACUUUCCUGCUUCAUAUUCUUUUAUUUUGCUCUCUAUAGUUUGGGUUUCUCAUACAAGAGAAACCAUGCGGUAUUUAAGCUUGUUUUAUUUUACUUAACAUUAUGGUCUUGAGCUGCAUCCAUUUUCCUGCAAUCAUUCUAGUUCAUUUCAUGAAAAAAUGUUCAGUAUCUCUGGCCACCAGAAAGAUACAAAUAGGAACAAUGCCGAGAAUUCAUCUCCAGAAAGAAUAGCCUUUGAGAAAUUGAAUAACAACAAAUCCUGGUGAGGCUGUGGAGGGCAGGUUGCUUCCACAAUGUUGGUGGGAGUGUAAGCUGGCACAACCACUGUGGAGAUUUCCCAGAAAACUCAAACUAGAAAUUCCAUUUGAGCCAGCUACGCUUCUAGGUAUCUUCCUGAAAGAGGCAUAUACAUAUGCAUCAUUUACAUGCACGCCCAGAUUUUGUUUUGUUUUGCUUUGUUUUUGAGAGGGAGUCUCAAUAUGUAGUUUAGGCUGGCCUCAAACUUAUGGCUAUCCUGCCUCAGCCUCCCAAGUGCUAGGAUCACAGCCAUGAGUGUGCCUUCAUGCAAUGGCUGCACACCCAUGUUUAUAGCUACACAAAGUGUAAUAGCUAAAUCAUGAGAGCAGCCUAUAUGUCCAUCAAUGUAUUUGUACACAAGGGAAUACACAACAACUGUGCUAUAUGCAUAUAUUUUAUUUUUAUUUUUUAUUUUUUUGGUACCAAGGAUCGAACUCAGACUGCACGCUUGCAAGGCAGGCACUUAUGCCGCUGAGCUAAAUCUUUGGCUCUUUUUAUAUACAUAUAUUUCAUGCAUACAGAUUUUCCUGGACUACUUCCUUCAUGGUAGGAUCAAGUAAAUCCCUUUACAGCCCAACUCCAGGUCAUUUGCUUCAACCCUUUUUGAUUUAUUCAUUCUUCAGUUUUUUGUUUGUUUGUUUGUUUGUUUUGUCUUUUUCGUUUUUAUCAGUACCAGGGAUCGAACUCACGACUGCCUGCUUGCAAGGCAGGCGCUUAUGCCGCUGAGCUAAAUCCUCAGCCUCCCAUUCUUCAGUUUUUGUUUCUGGUGUUGCUGGGCAUCCAAACUACAGUGUAACCCCACAUUGAGCUACACCCCAGCCCUAAACUAUUGAAAUAACAUAUUUACUACAGUCUCAAAUAAGAUAUUUUUUCAAGACAGUAUCUCACUGGGUAGCUCAGGUUGGCCUCGAGUUCAUGUGAAUCCUCUUACCACAGCUUCCUGAGUACUGGGAUUAUAGACAUGCAUCACCACAUCCAGUUCAAAAGAGAUUUAAAAACCUAUGAAUGAAAUACCACAGAAAAGGGGCAAAGCUUUAAUAUAUUGUAACUAUAAGUUCAAAGUUCUUUCUUUUUUGUUAUUUGAGCUUUUAUUUCUUAAACUUUACGUUGCUGUUGUUCUGACAAGAGUAUAUUGUUAAGGCUAACUCAAACUUUCAUCCUCCUGCCUCAGCCUCCUUAAUAGGUGGGAUUACAGGUGCAUGUCACAACUGGAAUUUUUUUUUUCUGUUCCUUUUGUACUGAAGAUUGAAUAACUGAAGACCUUCACAUAAGUUACUUUCCCAACUUUUUUUUUUUUUUUUUUUGGAGACAGAGUCUCACUAAAUCACUAAAUUGCCCAAACUGGAACCAAAUUUGCCCAUCUCAGCUGCUCAAUUCCAUAACCCAUAGAGUGGCAAGACAAUGGGCUCUGCUCAUCUGUCACCACUCACAGGGGGGUGCCCCUUGGACCAGAUGCUGAUCCUUGCAUUUGUUAGCUGUUGUAGAGCCAAUUAAGGAUCUGCUAGACCCUGUCUGAAAUGGUGUCUCAGUGGCUCAAGCCUGCAAUCCCAGCUACUCUGGAGACUGAAGCAGGAGGAAAGUAAAUUCUAGGUCAACCUGGCAUCUCUCUCAAAUGACCCAGGCAUGGUGGUAUAUAUGUAUAAGCUUAGGAUCUGAGAGGCCGAAGCAGUUGGUUGCAAGUUUGAGCCCCACUUAGGUGAUCAAGGAGACCGUAUCUCAAAAUAAAAAGAAGCGAGCCGGGUAUUUAGCUCAGUGACAUAUGUGCCUGGUUGGCAAGUGCAAGGUCAUGAGUUCGAUCCCCAGUACCAAAAAUAAAAUUUAAAAAAAGGAGCCAGGCUUAUGCCUAUAAUCCCAGCACAGGAGGCUGAGGCAGGAGGAUUAUUGCAAGUUCAAGGCCAGCCUUGACUGCAUAACGAGUGCAAAACCAACCUGAACUACACAGACCCUGUCUAUAAACAUAAAAAGGGCUGGGAUAUAGUUCAAUCCCUAGUACUAUCCAAAAAAGAGGAAAGGAGAGACAGAGACAAAGACACACAGAGCAAGAAGUACAGUCUGUCUAUUGCAGACCAUCCCUAAUGUAGGAUGGUGCAGUUUAUAGUUCAGUAAUACAGUAGUGCAAAGUAAAAAGUAAUACACAUUUAGUAGAAAUUAUCUGAAUUCUGAAAUUUAGUCUACAUCAGGCUAGCAACAGUCAGCCCUUGGCCAGCUGCAAGCUCAAGGCCAACCUGGAUUACAUGAUGAGACCCUACCCCCCCAAAACAAAAGAGAAAAAAAAGAGACAAACUAUUUUGAGGCAGGAAAAGUAAACUUAAGAUGUAUUAUGUACCUGUACCAACUCCCCAUGAUGAAUGUAACCAUUAUGUACUGCAAAUAUGUACUAAUAAAAUUUUUAAGUUAAAGACCAGGGAUAUAGCUCAGCAGCAUAAGCACCUGCCUCGCAAGCACAAGGUCCUGAAUUUGAUUCAUUAUCAGUAAAUAAAUAAAUGGCUCUGAUAUGGUUCAAAAACACACUAUUUUGUUAGUACAUGAAUGAAGUUAGUAAAUAUGUAAUGAAUCAUCAAGUAAAAUAUGACAAAAUAAGCUACAUGGCCAUUUUGGGAAAUCAAAUUGUUUUAUAACAUCAAGGAAUGUACAGCUUGGUGAGGGUAGAGCAAUAUUAACAGCGCGGCUUGAGAUAAGCACCAUUUAUAUAGAGGUUUCUAGGGCUUGGAAUAUCUGGUAGCCUCUUAUCAGCCUGUGAAACUCCUGCUCCACUGCCCCGACCCAACUCAAAUGUCACCUCCUCCCCCAGGCAAAAUUGGUCACUUCCUCAUUUAUCCUAGGAGCACAUUAGAAACCAUGUGUCCUCAAAAAAAUUAUUCCAAGUGUUUUCAUUUAAAUGCUUCUGAAAUCUAUAUUUUUAAAACCUAGCCAGUCUCCUCUACAAAAGUAAAGAAGUAACCAAUUUCAUUGCUUGAAGUUGUGUGAAUUUAAUUCUUAAAAGCUCAGAGAACUUGUUAAAAUUGAUGAUAGAGAGCUAGGGAUUUAGGUCAGUGGCUCAAGUGCUUACCUGGUAAGCGCAAGGUCAUGCAAGGUCAUGAGUUCGAUCCCUGGUACCAAAAAAAAAAAAAAAGUAAAACAAAAUUGAUGAUAGAGCCAGGCAUAGUAGCUCACCCCUGUAAUCUCAGCACUCAGGAAGCUGAGGCAGGGGAUUGCCUUGAGUUUGAGGUCAGACUGAACUGCAUACUGAGAACUGUCUCAAAAAAGAAAAAAAUGAUAAUAGAUUCACACUGAGUGACUAAGCAGAAAUAAACUUAGACUCUUAAAUCUUUGGUUGAAACUGUGAUUUACAGAAGAGGCUGGCAAAUUAUUCUAGGGAUUAAUAUAUACUCUUAUUUAGUAAAAACAAAGGUAAACCCACAAAUCUAUGAACAAGUGAUUUUUGACAAAUAGGAGUUAAAGAAAGGUGAGUCUUUUCAACCAAUGAAACUGGGAAAAUUUGGGAUCUAAAUGCAGAAGAAUGAAACUAGACCCUGGGAUGAGCUCUUGCCCUACAUGCACGAAGGCCCUGGAUUCAAUCCCAAGCUCCAAAAAAAAAAAAAACCAAACCCUGACCUUUCACCAGUUACAAAAAUUAACUCAGUGGGCUGGGGAUGAAGCUUACUGGCAUAAAUGCCUGCCUGGCAAGCACAAGGUCCUGAGUUUGAUUCCUGGUACAAAAAAAAAAAAAAAAAAAAAAGCUCAAGUGGAUCAAUAGAAUUGAUAACACAAGUGUAAGACAUAAAACUACUAGAAGAAAAUAGGGAAAGAACUUCAGGACAUCAGCAAGAAUUUUUUGAGCAAGACUCAAAAUUAUAGGAAACAAAAGCAAAAAUAAAAAGUCAAAGUACAGUCACAAAAAAAGCAAAAUAUAGCCUAUAAAACAAAUAGUAAACAGCUAACAGAAUAGUAGAAAAUAUUUACCAAGUAUUUAUCUGAUGAUAAUUAGUGUAUAGAAAGACGCUCGGGAAACUCAACCAAAGAACAAACAUAACCGUCCAACAAAUAAAUAAAAACCCCACAAAUAACCUGAUUAAAGAGUAGGUAGUUGGGCAAGAGCAGUGUAAAGAGCAGUGCAGUUCAGUAAUAGAGCGUUUGUCUUGCAUGUUUGGAUUCCCAGUACCACAAAAAAGGGUGUGGGCAGGGAAGGCCAUAAAACUAAACAGACAUUUCUCAAAAGAAAAUGUAAAUGGCCAACAGGUGUCUGAACCGUUCUCCAAUCCCCUGGGGUGAGGUCGGGAGUGGCUGGCAGUGCUGCAGAUGAGAGGAGGACUGGGGGGAAGAGGGAAGGACGGAGGAGUAAGUAGCUGUCCCUCAAGUGUCGCCUGUGGCUGCUUCAGGCUCCAGGCGGGGCUGGCAGGCAGGUGAGCCUGGUAGACCUUUUUUGGGCAGACUUGGGAUCUAUGUUCGAAACACAGAGGUGUGUAUUCUGUGGACUGUCUCUCUUUUCUCUAUAAUAAUGGCUGAAACUUUGCCAUAAAUAAACCAGGGCCUUCACUCCUGCUUUACUUUUUUGCAGUGUAGUUCUUCUUCUCGAUACUUAGUUAGUUUAUUACGGAGCCAGAGGAGGCCCUGUUUCCGUGGUGCCUGGUCCCAGGAGCUCCGUGGAGGAGGUGUCAUGAAGUCUGAAGUCAGGGGCUGGGCAUUUCUCACCUUCAGCAGUGGGAUAUCUUUAGCUGAAAGCAGAGGCGUGGCUUUUGUUGAAAAUGGGAAGAAGCUAAGGUGGAGUUAAAAGCAGAGACAGUUUUCUCUGAGAAUUUAAACUUCUCAGUUGGAAUGUGAAGAACUAAAGCAGAAAACAACCAAAGGUCAUCUGAGACUGAUUGGCUCACAGGACAAAAUUACAGAUCGCUAAGGAAGCAGAAGUUUUCUAAGACUGCUACAAAGAUAAAGAAGGAAGAGUCACCGAGAUGAAGUAAUCUGCCCAAAGUUAAACAGCUUUGAAGAAUGGGCCUCUUGCAGAUCUGGUGUGGGACCGGUGUGAGGAAAGCUCUCAGUGAGUGUCUGGUGAGCUGAACUGAAAGGAAACGCAGAUUGUGUGAAACUAUGCUGCUGUUCCAUGACGGCGAGGCUGCAAAAGAGUAAAAUACGCCUUGACUUGGCAUCUUGAACCAAGAGCCUAGGACGGGAAACCUAGGUGGCAGCACUACAGAGGAUGCGGGGCGGUGGCGGGGGUGCGUUUCCAUUCUUUUACUUUGGAUGUGUUUGAAUUUUUUUGAAAUCUUUACAAUAAGCACAUGUACUUUCAUGAUAUGUUUUGUUUUGUUUCAGUUUGGUUUUUGGUUUUCGAGACAGGGUCUUGCUAUGGUAGCCCAGGCUGGCCUCAAACUCACUGUGAUUUUCCUGCCUCAGCCUCCCCAGUGCUGGGAUUACAGGCAAAAACCACCACACUAGGCUCAUGAUUAGUUUUAAAAAGUGGCAGUUAGAGGGGCCAGGAUAUAGUACAGCGGCACAGUGCCUACCUAGCAAGUAUGAGACCCUGAGUUCAAGUCCUGGUACCAAAAAUAAACAAAUAAAUUAAUUUUUAUUAUUUUUUUAUUUUUUGGUACCGGCGAUCAAAUGCAUGACUGCACACCUGCAGCCGCUUAGCUAAAGCCUUGGCCCAAUUAAUUUUUAAAAAGUGGAGUUGUGGGGCAGAUACAUAUAGGAAACUGGCAGAUCUGGCAGAGACAUAUAGGAAACAGAAGAUACGCAAGCUGGCCAGAAGGUUUCUGGCAAGCAUGUAUAUAGGAGGGUAGGGAGUGAUUUGCAGAAAGAGGGAUCCAGGAGGGAAGCUGUGGAAGAGAAACUGAGGAGAGCUUGGAGGCGCAGGUUUGGGGGCAGCAAGUCACCUGUGGGCUAUGUCUACUGAGCACAAGCCUGGUGGGGCUGAAGUUUGGAAGCCAGGCCAGAUCUGUCCUGAGCAUGACUGACAAUUUAAGAUUAUGUGAAGAGUUGGUAAGCGGCUGUGGUGUGGCAGGCUGUGGCCACUCCAGGGGGAGAACCACCAGUGACUACUGAGAUCUACACAGUGCUGGAACUUAGGGCGCUGGGAAACCAAGCCAUCAGCUCAUCUCCCUGGUAAGCGGCUGUGGUGUGGCAGGCUGCAGUCUCCCCAGGCCGAUAAUCACCAGCGACUCCUGAGAUCUACGUCUUCCAUGUUGGAACUUAGGGCGCUGGGAAACCAAGCAACCCGCUUGCAUUCCUGCUAAGUGGUAGUGAGCCUACCAGAGCACGGGCUGAGAAUCAAACAUCCCACCUCCCCUCCCACCCCCCAUUAGCAAAUGGGAGCCAGAGAUCUGAGCAUCUCUUUAGAGGCUGACCACAUGCAAUAUAGCAAACAAGGGGGAUUUCCUUCUACCAUCUCUUUGAAGGCAAAUAUUUUUACUACUGUUUUGCUUUAUUCUGAUUAAUGGUACUGCUCUAUUCAAUAUUCUGUUUUGAUAAAUUCUAUAAUGUUUUGUAUUUUGUUUUAUUUUGCUAUACCUGGCUGAAAGAACAACUAUUGUGAAGAUAAUGAGAUACACUGUGGUACCUAUUACCGUUGUCCCGGUAACCUGCUGUGAAGUUCUGUACCAAUUUCACUACAUUAAAUUGGCUUUGUUCCA